AUCCGGGCGACGAGUUCCAAAUUGGACGAAAUGCGCAUCCUGGAU
rnacentral:hammerhead_ribozyme from 1 species